rnacentral:rRNA from 1 species
CCUACGGGCGGCAGCAGUGAGGAAUAUUGGUCAAUGGCCGGAAGGCUGAACCAGCCAAGCCGCGUGAAGGACGAAGGUGCCAAGCAUUGUAAACUUCUUUUGUCAAGGGACAAAAUCAGGCUCGAGAGCCUGACCGAGGGUACUUGAAGAAAAAGCAUCGGCUAACUCCGUGCCAGCAGCCGCGGUAAUACGGAGGAUGCGAGCGUUAUCCGGAUUUAUGGGGUUUAAAGGGUGCGUAGGCGGACUGUUAAGUCAGCGGUAAAAGCCCGGGGCUCAACCUCGGCGAGCCGUUGAAACUGGGUGUCUUGAGAGGUGGAGAGGUAUGCGGAAUGCGCAGUGUAGCGGUGAAAUGCUUAGAUAUUGCGCAGAACUCCGGUUGCGAAGGCAGCAUACCGGCGGGGAUCUGACGCUGAGGCACGAAAGCGUGGGUAUCGAACAGGAUUAGAUACCCGGGUAGUC